rnacentral:rRNA from 1 species
GUUGUGAGGUUAAGCGACUAAGCGUACACGGUGGAUGCCCUGGCAGUCAGAGGCGAUGAAGGACGUGCUAAUCUGCGAUAAGCGCCGGUAAGGUGAUAUGAACCGUUAUAACCGGCGAUUUCCGAAUGGGGAAACCCAGUGUGAUUCGUCACACUAUCAUUAACUGAAUCCAUAGGUUAAUGAGGCGAACCGGGGGAACUGAAACAUCUAAGUACCCCGAGGAAAAGAAAUCAACCGAGAUUCCCCCAGUAGCGGCGAGCGAACGGGGAGGAGCCCAGAGCCUGAAUCAGCAUGUGUGUUAGUGGAAGCGUCUGGAAAGGCGCGCGAUACAGGGUGACAGCCCCGUACACAAAAGCGCAUGUGCUGUGAGCUCGAUGAGUAGGGCGGGACACGUGGUAUCCUGUCUGAAUAUGGGGGGACCAUCCUCCAAGGCUAAAUACUCCUGACUGACCGAUAGUGAACCAGUACCGUGAGGGAAAGGCGAAAAGAACCCCGGCGAGGGGAGUGAAAAAGAACCUGAAACCGUGUACGUACAAGCAGUGGGAGCACAGGUUUACCUGUGUGACUGCGUACCUUUUGUAUAAUGGGUCAGCGACUUAU